CCUAGCCGCCACCUUCUUCUUCCCUGUCCCUUCUUCCUCACGGCAGCGCGCAGGGGACUUCCUCCCUUCCAUGGCUGCCCAGCUGCCGAGCUCCCCUCUUCCUCCCUGUGUUCAGUUUCUCCAACUUGGCGCCCCUGCUAUCUCCCCCAAUGGAGCAUAGCGCAGGGAGCAGCCAUCCCUGGCUCAACAGCAGCUCGACGCCCUCACUUCUCCCCUGCUAUCUCCACUUCUCUGUCCAUGGCGCAGCUCAACGAGGAGCAGCAGUUCUCCUUCAUGGGCGCGAGCCCCUUCUUCCACCUCUGACCGACGCCCCUGUUUCCCCUGCGACUCCCAUGGCCGAGCUCCAUCCCAGCAUGGACGUCGCCCCUUGCUGUUCCUUGCACCCUCCUCUGCGCAGCGCCCCUGUUCCCCUGCUCUCUUUUUUUUUCUUUUUUUCCUAGCAUCCAUGGACGCCAACAGCCGAUCCCAUGGCGUGCUGCCCCCAGCCCGGCGUCCUGCUCCCCCAUGGGCGCUCCCUGUUUUCUUCCACGCACAGCAGCAGGACGCUCAACUCAGCUCCCUCCCUUCCCUGCUCGCCCCAGCCAUAAAUCAUCGCGCAGAGCGCCGUCGGCCUGUUGAGCGCGCUCUCCACUGCCCUGGCGUUUCCCCCUGCUAGCUCCUCCCAUGGACGCCCAGAAAUUCCAGCAGCGAGUCCCCUUCCUCGCUGUUUGUCGUGGUGCCCGCCAGCUGUUCGUCAAAAUGCGCAGCAAGCCGCGCGCUGUCGACUCGCUGUUUCGUGAAGCCCAGUGGGCAGCACCGUCGACGCUCACCGGUUGGUCGCUGUUUUGCGCAGCCCCCAAUCGCGCCGUCGAAACUCGUGCUAACGGUCGACGUCGCGCUUCGCGCCCUACCCAUUCGACGAAACGCCGAGCCUUGUGGACAGUCCAUGCGGCUAAAUCCCGACUUGUUCAGGUUGAAUCCAUGUGACUGACUUACUUGCACAUUUGUCAUUGUCAUGUAUAUAUAUGUAUGUGAAUAUGUUGUAUGCGAAUUAAAAUUCAUGGAGGA